rnacentral:tRNA from 1 species
GUUUAACCUCUUCCUCUACUA